UGGAAAGUGUUGCUGUGAACAUGGGAGCGCAGAUGGUUUCACUCCUGGUUUCUGUUGUUUUGCAGAAGAACCCAGAAAGGUGUUUCAUUCCUUGACUUAAAGAAACUGAACAGUAGAAGAAAGAACACUGGGUGGCAGAUGGGGCCACAAUGAAGUACAGGAGGAGGUGUCCCUGCGAGGUCAGCAUCAGCCCCAGAUCACCCUACGGGCCGCUCUUGAAAGAAUGAACUCUAAGACACAAGAAAGGUGAUGUGAAACAUUGUCUGACAAUCAGUGAAAACAGUGGUGUGGAUUCUUGGGUAAGUGCAUUUUGAAGUUUCUAGAGGAAAUAAAAACUACAUUUUCGAUUUCAAUCAGUUAGAAUGCUCUUGAAUUUCUUUAAAAAAUUCAUUUAAAAUGGGGACCAUUUUGCCAUAUUUCUGUCUAUGUACUAGAGUUAGUCAUAUACAAGCGGAAUUAAUGUUUCUUUUGUAAUCUUAUAUGCAAUAAGAUUAACCAAUAUGAUCAUUUAACAGCAUGGGGAUUUGUUUGUUUGUUUGUUUUUUGG